rnacentral:rRNA from 1 species
AUUGAACGCUGGCGGCAUGCCUUACACAUGCAAGUCGAACGGCAGCGGACCUUCGGGUGCCGGCGAGUGGCGAACGGGUGAGUAAUAUAUCGGAACGUACCUUUCAGUGGGGGAUAACGUAGCGAAAGUUACGCUAAUACCGCAUAUUCUGUGAGCAGGAAAGCAGGGGAUCGCAAGACCUUGCGCUGAUUGAGCGGCCGAUAUCAGAUUAGCUAGUUGGUGAGGUAAAGGCUCACCAAGGCGACGAUCUGUAGCGGGUCUGAGAGGAUGACCAGCCACACUGGAACUGAGACACGGUCCAGACUCCUACGGGAGGCAGCAGUGGGGAAUUUUGGACAAUGGGCGCAAGCCUGAUCCAGCAAUGCCGCGUGCAGGAUGAAGGCCUUCGGGUUGUAAACUGCUUUUGUACGGAACGAAACGGUUCUCUCUAAUACAGGGGGCUAAUGACGGUACCGUAAGAAUAAGCACCGGCUAACUACGUG